rnacentral:rRNA from 1 species
CAGGCCUAACACAUGCAAGUCGAGCGGAAACGAGAAUAGCUUGCUAUUCGGCGUCGAGCGGCGGACGGGUGAGUAAUGCUUGGGAAUAUGCCUAGAGGUGGGGGACAACAGUUGGAAACGACUGCUAAUACCGCAUAAUGUCUACGGACCAAAGGAGGGGAUCUUCGGACCUUUCGCCUUUAGAUUAGCCCAAGUGAGAUUAGCUAGUUGGUAAGGUAAUGGCUUACCAAGGCGACGAUCUCUAGCUGGUUUGAGAGGAUGAUCAGCCACACUGGGACUGAGACACGGCCCAGACUCCUACGGGAGGCAGCAGUGGGGAAUAUUGCACAAUGGGGGGAACCCUGAUGCAGCCAUGCCGCGUGUGUGAAGAAGGCCUUAGGGUUGUAAAGCACUUUCAGUAGGGAGGAAAGGGUGUACGUUAAUACCGUGCAUCUGUGACGUUACCUACAGAAGAAGCACCGGCUAACUCCGUGCCAGCAGCCGCGGUAAUACGGAGGGUGCGAGCGUUAAUCGGAAUUACUGGGCGUAAAGCGAGCGUAGGCGGUUUGAUAAGCCAGAUGUGAAAUCCCGGGGCUCAACCUCGGAACUGCAUUUGGAACUGUCUGACUAGAGUACUGUAGAGGGUGGUGGAAUUUCCAGUGUAGCGGUGAAAUGCGUAGAGAUUGGAAGGAACAUCAGUGGCGAAGGCGGCCACCUGGACAGAUACUGACGCUGAGGUUCGAAAGCGUG